AGGCGAGAACCUAGAUUGCAUUAGUGAAAACUCAAAUCUCAUUUUCAACUUAUGUCCCAGCAAGAGAUUGAAGCUGUAACACAGUCAAACUAAAGCCAUAAUAUAGUCCUAUAAACAUUGUUAAGUCACUUUGAAGAUUCACAACCACACUUAUAGUAAUUGAAAUUGGCACACAUAGUUAUUGUGUUGUUGGCAAGCAUAUCCUCCUUGUUGAACUAGUGGCAGAAUGCAUCGGUCAAUAUGUUGUGCAGCUGGUUUGGAUAUUUGAGGGUCUCCAACUCGAACUUCAUCACCUCCAUGCUUUUUUACGGGAAAGUCAUAUAUACUGCAGCUGCUAAUAGAUAACAGUAUUAAAUUACUUUUGCAUAUUCAACUAUAACACAAACGUAAAGCAAAUAUAACAUACUCAGAAAGGAUACAUACACCCUUCCAAUACUUGACAGAACAUACGGUACUAUCCUCCUAUCCACUGGGGUUCAAUUCCAGUUGUAGUCGCUUUGUGAGGAAAAACUUCUUGCGAGUCUUCUUCCGAUCGUAGUCCAUCGAAGUUGGGUUAUGCGGUUCGUCCACUAAGUCCCCCAGAACUUGUUUUGCGGUUCGUGACACCGCUCGAAAAAAGUAAUGUUCGUCCGAAGAUUGCUCAUUGGGAGUAGUGGACUCUUCAGAGGAUGUAUCCACCAUCUUUUGAUCUCCA
rnacentral:lncRNA from 1 species